CAAAUUAAAGCUUUUAUAGUUUUUCAUUUACAUUGAAAAGAGUCUAAAUUUUAGAUAAUUUGA
rnacentral:tRNA from 1 species